UACGGGGGAUGCAAGCGUUAUCCGGAUUUAUUGGGUUUAAAGGGUGCGUAGGCUGUGAGGUAAGUCAGCGGUGAAAUGCCCCCGCUCAACGGGGUGAAGUGCCAUUGAUACCGCCUUGCUGGAAUGCGGAUGCCGUGGGAGGAAUGUGUGGUGUAGCGGUGAAAUGCAUAGAUAUCACACAGAACACCGAUUGCGAAGGCAUCUCACGAAUCCGCGAUUGACGCUGAUGCACGAAAGCGUGGGUAGCAAACAGG
rnacentral:rRNA from 1 species